rnacentral:rRNA from 1 species
AUUGAACGCUGGCGGCGUGCCUAACACAUGCAAGUCGAGCGGUAACAGGUGUAGCAAUACAUGCUGACGAGCGGCGGACGGGUGAGUAACGCUUGGGAAUCUGCCUGUUAGUGGGGGACAACCCGGGGAAACUCGGGCUAAUACCGCAUACGCACUACGGUGGAAAGCCCGGGGACCGCAAGGCCUGGCGCUAACAGAUGAGCCCAAGUCGGAUUAGCUAGUUGGUAGGGUAACGGCCACCAAGGCGACGAUCCGUAACUGGUCUGAGAGGACGACCAGUCACACCGGAACUGAGACACGGUCCGGACUCCUACGGGAGGCAGCAGGUGGGGAAUAUUGGACAAUGGGACGAAAGCCUGAUCCAGCGACGCCGCGUGGGUGAAGAA